UAUCCUUCUCGGCCUUUUGGCUAAGAUCAAGUGUAAGCUCCUGUUCUAUCAGUUUAAUAUCUGAUAUGUCCUCUAUAUAGGGGACUACAUAUUAAGCAGAUUUUUGGCAUGAGGGGCUGGCGAAAUUUGGAGCUUGCUCCUUUGUCUCCACGCAUCGACCUAGCAUUCUGGUGCCGCUGGGAGCCGAGUGCACUCUGU